rnacentral:lncRNA from 1 species
UUUUUUAAAAUGUAAAUGGAGUAAAUGAUAAAAUGUAGACUGAAUUUAUCAUAAAGACAUUUUCUUUUGGUAUAUUGCAAGGAACUAUGAACAUUUAGUAACUACUAUAAGCAACUGACAGGGGAAAAAAUGGCAACAGAAGAAGGAAAGAGGAGAGAAUGGGGAGCAGACACUAAGGUGUAGUGAAAGGAGGAAAAUGAAGGCUAAGUCUAAUGAUGUGAAUCCUAUUUGCAAUCCAUCAAAGGAGGGAUCUUCCUACUGACCAGAAGACCUGAACAGCCUGAGAAUGAUCCUUUCAACUCCAAGAGAAGAAGCUGCAGAUGAAGAGCAAUCUUUUAUGAGAAGCUAGUCCCUGAAAAGGCCCUUGGAUCAAACCUUUAUUGUCUUUAAACAUUAUCUUUAUUUAAUGUGUUUCAUAGAAAUUACUUCUCAGGUAUUCCUCAUGCUAUCACUAUAAUAUAGUUUUUUAAAUUAACUUGAGAGGUAAUGUAGUAUGAUCAACUUCCUUAAUGGCCUUUUAAAGUAGAAAUAACAGGCAAAAUGGUGAAAAAUCUAACAUCUGGUUCUUAAAAGUAAGUUGAAAUAUAAGAUCAGAUUUGAAUGCACAUGGAAAAAUAGAACUGGCAAAUAAUGCCAUAUUUGAAGAUCUUUUAGUAUUCUCUGGUAUUUUUCCUUUCAUUUCAAAAUUGUUAUAUUCUUUUUAAUGACUUCAAAUGAAUUAGGAAAUGUCAGGCUUCUAAAAAUCAAACAGAACGUCCAACCAGUAGAUUUCAUUCAGGGCAGUGGGAGCCUGUUCGGUUGUUUCCUCUUUCUCCCUCACUUUUAAAAAUCCUCAAUCACUGCCAUUUCUCUUCUCAGCUUUCACAACACUUUACAGGCAGCUGAAUGAAAGGGCAGAAGCUUCCUCUGAAACUCCUGUUAUUUCAGCUCUAAAAUCAGCUGAAAAGGAUGCCCUCCCCAGAGACAGAAAUGCAUUCCCUCCAUCAUGAACCUGCAAUGCCCUCAGGUUGUGGCAAGGGAGAAGUUUAGCACUUGAACCUAGAUAACGCUAUUUUUUUAAUCAAAGUGCACCGUUCUUGUUUCAUAUGGCCUGUGGCACAAUUUAUUUAAAACAAUAUGGUGCAUCAAAGAAGGGAAAACACAUGGCCUCAGUACCUUCAUGAAAUGGGACUUCAAUAUACAUAUUUCUUAUACAGCUUUAUGCAUGACUUCAUUGCACUUCACUGCUCUGUUGUGUCACUCUACCAAUAAACCUAUACAUCAUACUGAGUGAAAUAUGUUCACAGGCCCUUUACUUGAC